ensembl:lncRNA
CGACGACGUCGCGUCGCGCAAGAAGAUGUAGCAGCUCCUCGGGGCGGGGGGGGGCUGAUAGGAGAGGGCUAUGGACGUGCAGAACAGUAAACGGGGACGACCAUGGCCCACCGCGGACCCGCGGGCUUGGACAUAGAGGCGGCCGGUGCGACAGCAGCGCGAGGAACAGUUGCCACCACGCAGGAGAAUCCGCGGGUGAAUGUUGGCGGUUGGUCUCGAGCGGGGCGCGCGCCCUGGAUGCUCGUGCGAUUCGCUGGUCUCGAGACGUCCUGCAUGACAAUCUACACUUCUGCACCCCUGGUGAAAGAGUGUAUCCACACUGGCAGGUGUGUGUUUGUGAAUCAGUGUGAGCUUGCGUGUGUCUGUGUGUGUGUGUGUGUGUGUGUGUGUGUGUGUGUGUGUGUGUGUGUGUGUGUGUGUGUGUGUGUGUGUGUGUGUGUGUGUGUGUGUGUCGCUGGAGGACCGAGGACUGCGUGACCAAGGCCUGAGGGGUUGUCUGUUAUCUUUGGUUAUCUAGCUGUAUGAGUGGCAUACAUUCUUCAUAAAGCUAGAUAACCGAAAGUAACAAGAAUCCCAUUACACGCUCGUCAGGCCCCCCCCGCCCCCACCAUCGCAACCGCCACCACCAGUGAAAACACGAAAACCAGAGACGCAAACACUUCAAGAACUGCACUGAACCACAGAGAAGGAUUUCACUCUGACGCCACAGAAAAGAGAUCCAAGGAGCCAUCAUCUGGCGGCUGGCUCCUCUGUGGACUCCAAGAGAAGCAACGCAACCUUCGGUUGUAGGACGAUGUGGCCCAGACUCUCUCCUCAGCCCGAAAGCUAGUGGAGGGAACAAAAAAAGGUUGGAUCCUUCCGGAACAACGAAGCUGCAAACAAUGUAACAACGACGGACGGCGCUGUGAUUCUGAUGCGCCCUGAGCGACAACAUUGGGCUGAGUGUGGAGGAGGGAGCCAUACGCUGAGGGACACACGAGGGACUGGCGGGAUGCCAGAAUCUAUUUCUACAUAAACUGAGAGAAAGUUGGACUAUCAUGAAGAUAAUCUGGGACUAAACUCACCCAAGGGGAGUGUGUGUGUCUGUAUGUGUGUGUGUGUGUGCGUGUGUGUUUGUCUUUGUGUUUGUAUGUGUGUGUGUGUGUGUGAGAGAGAGAGAGUAAGAGAGUGAGAGAGAGAGAGAGAGAGAGAGAGAGAGAGAGAGAAAUGUAUAUAUUUGUGUGUGUGUGUGUGUGUGUGUGUGUGUGUGUGUGUGUGUGCGUGCGUGUGUGUGUGUGUGCGUAUGUGGAACACUGUGUUCUCAGGAACCAUUUUGCACAGCUGUUCGUUAUAUAUCUGUACUAUGUAGGUCAGAGCUUAGACAGGACACACACACACACACACAAACACACAACCACCCGCACACAAUCACACAGACAAACACACACACACACACGAACACACACGAAGACACUGACACACAAAAACACAUUUUAAAUAAUUGUUUCAUCGCUCAGUCACAAUUAGUUAAAACAGCUAAAUAAAUAACUGCAAUAGAAAUAGAAAACAUAGAGUGAAAUAUCUAAUAGUGGAUUUUUGACAAUCAUUGAGACUGAAUAACUUGAAACAUAUUCAUUGACAAUCCCUCUCGCAAUCUCUAUUUUUUUAGCUGAUUUUUUCAAGUAUAAAUAAGGUUAAGAAGUAUCACAAUGCUAAAUAUUGCACCUAGAUAGCGUUAUUUGAAAUUAACUCAUAUUUUAGAAAACACAUUUUAUGACACAUUUGCUUUUGCUUGGAUUGUCUUAAAAAAGACUAAGCAAAGCAAAAGUAAAUUAGGAAAUCAAUUAAAUGUCACUAUUUUAUAUUUUAGAAAGCAAAUUAUAAUUUGCUGACACCACCGUCAGUGUGUGAAUGUGUGGAUGAAUGGGUGAAUGUGAGGCCAUAAUUGUCAAGCGCUUUGAGUGGCUGCUGGUGGGUAAAGGGCUGUAUAAAUGCAGUCCAUUUACCAUUUUUGUGUCUAUGCAAGGGAGUUUGUUAUGUCAUCUCCUACUCUGUAAACUACUGAGUUCACUCUGUUUCAGUAGUGAAAUGUAUUGUGAGUUGUUCCCUUUGUUUGGAAUUGAUGGGUGGGAUGGUGAAUGACGGACAACACAUGUGUACUACAGGGCACAGGUGCAAUUUUUUCUUUUGAUAACUUUUUGAAUAGUUUAUAUUUCUAGUAUUGGUAUUUUGAAGAACUUGGUGUCUUAUUUGACUAUUUUAUAUUGUUUAUACCUGAAUGUUUACAUUUGACUUGUAAAACUGCAGGGGUAAAACCUAUAUAUAUAUAUAUAUAUAUAUAUAUAUAUAUAUAUAUAUAUAUAUAUAUAUAAUAUAUAAUAUACUGUACACAUAUACAGUACAUUACUAUUAAUAUUAUAAAUACCUUCUAUGUUUUUAUAUUUUGGCCACCAGGUGUUCUUUCUUGCUUGUUUCCCAUGAGGGGUUGAGGCAAGACAUGUUAAGUAUGGGGAAUAGAUUUCAUGUGUUUUGAAUUUUACCCACAGGGAACAUUGAGAAGCAGUUUUAUGCGCCAUUUUAUUCUAAUUGUUAUUCACUCUGACACGGGAGUGUCAUUAGCUAGAUUUGCGGUCUGAAUCAUGAUCCUGUACUAUGCAACUUCCUAACUAUGCAACUGUGUUCUAUAUGAAACUGUGUACUACUAUAUGAUACUGAGUAGUAUGUUACUAUAUAUGAUGCAGAAUGUGCGAAAAAUAAUCAAUAAAAAACAAAAGAAAAUGUCACACUUGUGUUUCCAAAUCUCAACGGGUUGAAAAACCUGCCACGCAAGCACUACAUAUUAAGAACAAAACAUUAAGCUC